rnacentral:rRNA from 1 species
AGGACGAACGCUGGCGGCGUGCUUAAAACAUGCAAGUCGAACGAGACCUUUGGUCUAGUGGCGAACGGCGGAGUAAUACAUAAGCAACCUGCCUCAAAGACCGGGAUAGCCCUCGAAAGAGGGAUUAAUACCGGAUGUGGCCUUUUGUGGGCAUCCACGAAAGAUUAAAACGAGCAAUCGGCUUUGAGAGGGGCUUGUGGCCUAUCAGCUUGUUGGUGGGUAAUGGCCUACCAA